rnacentral:rRNA from 1 species
UACGUAGGGGGCAAGCGUUAUCCGGAAUUAUUGGGCGUAAAGAGUACGUAGGCGGUUCUUUAAGCGCAGGGUUUAAGGCGAUAGCUUAACUAUCGUUCGCCCUGUGAACUGGGGGACUUGAGUAUCGGAGAGGAAAGCGGAAUUCCUAGUGUAGCGGUGGAAUGCGUAGAUAUUAGGAGGAACACCAGAGGCGAAGGCGGCUUUCUGGACAUUAACUGACGCUGAGGCUCGAAAGCGUGGGGAGCAAACAGG